UACGAAGGGGGCUAGCGUUUGUUCGGAAUUACUGGGCGUAAAGCGCACGUAGGCGGAUAUUUAAGUCAGGGGUGAAAUCCCGGGGCUCAACCCCGGAACUGCCUUUGAUACUGGGUAUCUCGAGUCCGAGAGAGGUGAGUGGAAUUCCGAGUGUAGAGGUGAAAUUCGUAGAUAUUCGGAGGAACACCAGUGGCGAAGGCGGCUCACUGGCUCGGUACUGACGCUGAGGUGCGAAAGCGUGGGGAGCAAACAGGG
rnacentral:rRNA from 1 species